rnacentral:rRNA from 1 species
UACGUAGGGCGCAAGCGUUGUCCGGAAUUAUUGGGCGUAAAGAGCUCGUAGGCGGCUUGUCACGUCGGGUGUGAAAGCCCGGGGCUUAACCCCGGGUCUGCAUUCGAUACGGGCUAGCUAGAGUGUGGUAGGGGAGAUCGGAAUUCCUGGUGUAGGCGGUGAAAUGCGCAGAUAUCAGGAGGAACACCGGUGGCGAAGGCGGAUCUCUGGGCCAUUACUGACGCUGAGGAGCGAAAGCGUGGGGAGCGAACAGG